rnacentral:rRNA from 1 species
UUGACAUGUACCGGAAACUCCCAGGAGACUGGGGGCCCCGCAAGGUCGGUACACAGGUGGUGCAUGGUUGUCGUCAGCUCGUGUCGUGAGAUGUUGGGUUAAGUCCCGCAACGAGCGCAACCCUCGUUCUAUGUUGCCAGCACGUGAUGGUGGGGACUCAUAGGAGACUGCCGGGGUCAACUCGGAGGAAGGUGGGGAUGACGUCAAAUCAUCAUGCCCCUUAUGACCUGGGCUACACACGUGCUACAAUGGUUGGUACAACGAGUUGCGAGUCGGUGACGGCGAGCUAAUCUCUUAAAGCCAAUCUCAGUUCGGAUUGUAGGCUGCAACUCGCCUACAUGAAGUCGGAAUCGCUAGUAAUCGCGGAUCAGCACGCCGCGGUGAAUACGUUCCCGGGCCUU